rnacentral:rRNA from 1 species
GUAGGUGGCAAGCGUUGUCCGGAAUUAUUGGGCGUAAAGCGCGCGCAGGCGGUUCUUUAAGUCUGAUGUGAAAGCCCACGGCUCAACCGUGGAGGGUCAUUGGAAACUGGAGAACUUGAGUGCAGAAGAGGAAAGCGGAAUUCCACGUGUAGCGGUGAAAUGCGUAGAGAUGUGGAGGAACACCAGUGGCGAAGGCGGCUUUCUGGUCUGUAACUGACGCUGAGGCGCGAAAGCGUGGGGGGAGCAAACAGGAUUAGAUACCCUGGUAGUCCACGCCGUAAACGAUGAGUGCUAAGUGUUAGGGGGUUUCCGCCCCCCCCUUAGUGCUGCAGCUAACGCAUUAAGCACUCCGCCUGGGGAGUACGGCCGCAAGGCUG